GUAAUUACCGGAGGGCAUUAGUCCUCGACUGGUCUACAAGGGAUAUCGAUUCUAGUAAUUAAGCGUACUGUAAGUACGUCGAUCUCUUGGAAAGUGGGGAAACCCACUUUUUUUAUGGGAA
rnacentral:sRNA from 12 species